AAACUAAUUUAAUUUGGCGGCAUUUCAUCUAAUUAGAGGAAUUUGUCUUUUAAUCGAUAAUCCACGUUAAAUCUCACUUCAAUUAUAAAUUUAUAUACCGCCAUCUCAAGAACUAAUUAUAAAACAUUAUUCUCAAUAAAAUAUAAUAUUUUAGGUCAAGGUGUAGUUAAUAUUAAAGCUAAGAUGAAUUACACUAAACAAAAUUUAAANUCNUNCAUUAAANCUCNNAAAANAGAAUUUAAAAGCAAUGGUUUAAUAAUAAUAUAUCAUGACCUAGACAAUAAAUGUGCACACAUCGCCC
rnacentral:rRNA from 1 species